rnacentral:rRNA from 1 species
UACGAAGGGUGCAAGCGUUACUCGGAAUUACUGGGCGUAAAGCGUGCGUAGGUGGUUUGUUAAGUCUGUUGUGAAAGCCCCGGGCUCAACCUGGGAAUGGCAAUGGAUACUGGCAAGCUAGAGUGCGGUAGAGGGUAGUGGAAUUCCCGGUGUAGCGGUGAAAUGCGUAGAGAUCGGGAGGAACACCAGUGGCGAAGGCGAGUCUCUGGACAUUUCCUGACGCUGAGGCACGAAAGCCAGGGGAGCAAACGGG